CUACAUGAAAAUCUAGAAUGACCUGCUUCACUGAGAGAGAGAAGGAUCAGGUAGAGUAAGCAGAAAAAAGCCAGAGAACUUACGAUCUCCUUGGCAGCGCACGGGACCCACGGAUACCUUGGCUUCAGACCCAGGCCGGUCAAGGUCUCCAACCACCACCUGGCUGACUGUGAUACUAUUACCUCUGUCUGUGUGUGUAUAUCUCUGCACACGAUCGAGAAACUGGAGAAGUGAGGAAGGAUACUACACAAGAUGGCAAGAGCAAAACUUGACAUUGAGUCAGAGAAGAAACAGACCCUGAAUUUUACAAAGAUCUGCAGUUUGUUCAGACCGCCUACCUAUGGAAAGUGAAUCCA